rnacentral:lncRNA from 13 species
UUGCUUUAUUUUUGAACACAGCAGAGUUCAAUAUUAUCAAAUGUUUGUCAGUUUCCUUACAAAUAUGAAGACUGCAUACUGAAUGACACAGAAACAGGUAAGAAUAAAGUAAUCUUCUCUCUAACACUUUAAAUGUUAGGGGUGGACCACAUCGGACCCUUCACGAAAUCCAGGAAUGGCAACAGCUGGUGUCUAACGGCAACCGAUUACUUCACCAAGUGGGCGGAGGCAAUACCCAUUAAGGUCAGUGAAGGAAGAGAAUGUGCUUAACUCUAAAUUCACUUCUGUAACCCAUUAAAAAAGGGUGCUUGGAACCAAAAAAAGCAGUUUUCAUGUUGCAUGAUACCCAUCAAGGACAAGAAUGGUGAGGCCACCUCCAAGGCGAUGACAGACAUCUUCAACACCCACAGUGCUCCUGAGGUCAUCUUGAGUGACCGAGGUCGUGAACUCUGGAACAAGGUAAUACUAUUAUAGGCUGUAUUAUGUCACCAACUAUAUAAAUAGCGAAGUUUAUUUACUGAUGUACGAUUUUCCUUAGAACAACAAAGCCUUGUUCGAGGACUGGGGUGUGAAGCACCGGUUCUCCGAUGCAUAUCAUCCACAGACAGACCAACGGUUUGGAUGAACGGACCAACCAGACCCUCAGGACUGCCAUGGGCAAGUCCCUUGACGGGUACCAGGAAUGGUGGUGAGGACAACCUGAAGGUAAUUCUCUUUGCACACAACAGCAGUGUCUAGGCCUCCACCAAGUACUCACCCUAUUGCCUGUUGUACGGACGGGAGCUGCAGCUGUUGACUGCGGUAAACAAUGCAAUUGUAUAUACAAUUUUAUAAAAUUAUGGCAUAUUCUGUAAUCAUUCAAAUUUGUGAUUGACUUAAUGUGUUAUUGUUUGUCUAUUGCUAUUUUUGAAUAACAUACUUUCAGAUCACAGAAACUCCACCUGAUGUGGUGGAAGUUGUGAAACCAGAUCAGAAUGCCUUCGAGGACUACAUUCAGGCACAGGCUGAGAAGGUUUUUGACCAGGUGAGACUGAACAUCGACAAUGUUCAGGAUGAGCAGGAGAGCUACCGGAGGAAAAUCAAGAAGAGGACCAUGUGCUUCGACAUCCGGGCGAAUGACUUGGUUUGGAAGAAGGAUGAAACGAAGGUGAGACCUGGGAAACCUCGUUGCUCUUUCGCUCCUAGCUGGAGUCAUCCUCCGUUAAGGUGAAUAUAAAGCAUCUCAGAUAAUAACUAUUUGAAUUUGCACCCAAAAUAACCUGAAGCUAGUCUAGUUUUCCUAACACUGACAUUUCUCUUUAUGUCUUCAUAAGGGUUACCUCGGUGGAAGCCAACAAUCUUCUCCAGUCGGAAGGUCGACAACUGAAAGCCCUGACGCCCUACACUUCGGUGAAGCCUGUGAGACAAAGAAUGUUAAGCGUUGGUUGACAUUUGAGAAAGCAAGACAUUUUUAGCUGAACUCAUAAAAAUGUACCUCCCCAAAUGACUUUAGGACCAUCAACUGUCCAAACCACACAGGAGGUAUCCCAUCCACCAGAGCCAGUGAGUUCGGAUCAGUCUGAUUCUCUGUGCUCUGAGUCAGAAGGGGACCAGCUUGAGGUCGGCUAUACUUUCAAAAUCUGUUGAAAACUACAUAUCUCUCCUUCAUA